CAGCAGCCGCGGUAAGACGAACCGUGCGAACGUUAUUCGGAAUCACUGGGCUUAAAGCGCGUGCAGGCGGGAGGGCACGUCCGUCGCUGAAAUCCCCCGGCUCAACCGGGGAACGGGCGCGGAUACGACUCUUCUGGAGGAACGUAGGGGGACCUGGAACUUCCGGUGGAGCGGUGAAAUGCGUUGAGAUCGGAAGGAACGCCCGUGGCGAAAGCGGGGUCCUGGACGUUUACUGACGCUGAGACGCGAAAGCCAGGGGAGCGAACGGGAUUAGAUACCCCAGUAGUCCCUGUCUCUUAUA
rnacentral:rRNA from 1 species